rnacentral:pre_miRNA from 1 species
AUUCUUGUCUUAGAUUUGUCUAGAUAUGAAUAUCAAGUAUUUUGAUACAUUCAUUUCUAGAUAAACCUAAUACAAGAAUU